rnacentral:rRNA from 1 species
UACGUAGGGUGCAAGCGUUGUCCGGAAUUAUUGGGCGUAAAGAGUUCGUAGGCGGUUUGUCGCGUCCGUUGUGAAAGCUUGGGGCUCAACCCCAGGUCUGCAGUGGAUACGGGCAGGCUAGAGUCAGGUAGGGGAGAACGGAAUUCCUGGUGUAGCGGUGAAAUGCGCAGAUAUCAGGAGGAACACCAAUGGCGAAGGCAGCACUCUGGGACGUGACUGACGCUGAGACGCGAAAGCGUGGGGAGCAAACAGG